UGAGGAAUAUUGCGUCAAUGGGCGAGAGCCUGAACCUGCCACGUUCGCGUGCAGGAAGAAUGUCCUAUGGAUUGUAAACUGCUUUUGUAGGGGAAUAAUUGUAUCCACGUGCUGGAUAUUUGCAUGUACCUUACGAAUAAGGAUCGGCUAACUCCGUGCCAGCAGCCGCGGUAAUCG
rnacentral:rRNA from 1 species